rnacentral:rRNA from 1 species
UACGUAGGGUGCGAGCGUUGUCCGGAUUUAUUGGGCGUAAAGAGCUUGUAGGCGGCUCGUCACGGUCGGGUGUGAAAACUCGCGGCUCAACCGCGAGCCUGCACCCGAUACGGGCGGGCUGGAGUUCGGCAGGGGAGACUGGAAUUCCGUGGUGUAGCGGUGGAAUGCGCAGAUAUCAGGAGGAACACCGGUGGCGAAGGCGGGUCUCUGGGCCGAUACUGACGCUGAGAAGCGAAAGCGUGGGGAGCGAACAGG